UACGUAGGGUGCGAGCGUUAAUCGGAAUUACUGGGCGUAAAGCGUGCGUAGGCGGUUCGCUGUGUCCGAUGUGAAAGCCCCGGGCUUAACCUGGGAAUGGCAUUGGAAACUGGCGGGCUUGAGUGCGGGCAGAGGGGGGGUGGAAUUCCGCGUGUAGCAGUGAAAUGCGUAGAGAUGCGGAGGAACACCGAUGGCGAAGGCAGCCCCCUGGGUCGACACUGACGCUCAGGCACGAAAGCGUGGGGAGCAAACAGG
rnacentral:rRNA from 1 species